ACAAAGGUAUCCAUAUUCAAGGUUUGUGAGACCAGCACCCCAUAACCAGUCAUAUGCAUCACCAGAGAGCAUACCUCACGAUGAGAUAAAUAAUAAA